AUGAUGUUGUUUUGCAUUGACAAACACGAACUCCUUAACUGCAUCAGUUGGCAAAGGAACAACAGCAUGCUGAAUUCCUAUUUUACAGAUACAGGUUGCUUCUGUGAUUAUUUUUUCAAUGAAAACUUUUCUUUUAGUUUCCUCUGUGGUUUGUUGGUUCUUGUUCUGGUGUAUUUGUUAUGUGUUGGUGAUGUUAUGCUGAGAUUUUGUAUGGGAGCAAUUUGGGUUACAGCAAGUACGUAUAUUAGUAAUGAAGGAGUUAAAAUGAGGGUGGGUAUAAGCUACCAAUUAGACCGCUUUCAGUUUUUAUGUAUGUAG